rnacentral:pre_miRNA from 14 species
UUAUUGAUUCUUCCUGAAAGGUGAAUAUUGGUAAAAUUUUAAACAGGAGCAUGACUGCAUCUGAAAGACCCCCUGGAGCGGGGAGACCCUCACUCAAGUCUCAGGAUGACAUGACCCUCCAAGAACUCACGAGAGACU